UACAGAGGGUGCAAGCGUUAAUCGGAAUUACUGGGCGUAAAGGGCUCGUAGGUGGCCAACUAAGUCAGACGUGAAAUCCCUCAGCUUAACUGGGGAACUGCGUCUGAUACUGGAUGGCUUGAGUUUGGGAGAGGGAUGCGGAAUUCCAGGUGUAGCGGUGAAAUGCGUAGAUAUCUGGAGGAACACCGGUGGCGAAGGCGGCAUCCUGGACCAACACUGACACUGAGGAGCGAAAGCCAGGGGAGCAAACGGG
rnacentral:rRNA from 1 species